GGCAAUAUCACACCGCCUAUUAACCGACAAGCACACAUUGUGUACAUACAUGUGGACAUCACCCCGUCGCUAACUGCACACGAUUAACUAGACAGCAAUCACAGUAAAAAAUUGCAGGUUGACAUUAUCAGAAAGGGGAAGGUUUCAAGAUGCCGUACGAAACACAGGACAAGGAGACUUUCUCUGAACAACUUCGUUCCAGCAACGUGCCUUUGAGAGAGCCGACGGAAAGGGAUCCAGUUGUAACACCCCUUCGUAACAGACGACAGUUACAAGGAAGACGAGUUUCACUCACAGUUGAAUAUGAGGCAUCUACUCCCGUGAACAUCAUGUGGCAGAGAAAUGAUACAAAUUAUGUUUGUUAUAAUGGGAGCGCAAGAUCUGGCAAGAUUUCAAUGGUGAUCAAGAAAGCUGACGUUGACUUGCACAACAAUAACAGAUACGCAGUUAUCAUAACCGACUACAGGGGACGAAAGUGUUCAACUUCUGCUAAGGUGCGUGUGUACUACGGAUAGACUCGGAACCAUAACUGGGAGUCAACACAUUGAGACAGCAUCACCCAUCCCCCAAAGGAGGAGUCUUGACCUUACACAUCGAACACCAAACAAUCACAGCCAGAAGUGAAACCACACUUUUCCUUCCUCACUGGUACACCCAAGCCUGUAUAAAUACGCCUGCAACCCAGGACCUGAUUUUGUCCUUCUAUUGUUUGAACGCAACAUCUCCCAUUGGUUUUGUACACGUUUUCCAACCGUGUACCUUUCCCGAACUGUGGACUCUAAUGUCCUCUUUUGUUAUAGGUCCCCUGUUUGAAUGUGUACACCUACUAACGAAAAUGGACUAUCAGCAACAACAUGAACCUUCGGCCUUGGAAAUGUUUUGUUAACUUUACACUAUGUGCCUCCACUAAAUAAUUUUGCACUGAUUUGAUUAUCUCUGGGCCAUUCUAGUGAAUAAUCUCAGUUGUGUGUACAAUCCAACCCUCGUUAAAGAAAGCACCAUUGUUCUUCAACUCCUAUGUUUUAAUACAAUUCAUUAAAGACAUUGGACACUAUAGGUAAUUGUCAAAGACCAGUCUUCUCACUUGGUGUACCUCAACAUAUACGCUU